AAGUUAUACGCAAACAUACAGCCGCUUAUUCUCUUGCUGCUUCGCGCCCUUGCUCUGCCUUUGAACGCCCCAGCUGUGAGCCUCAGUGCAAGAAUCCUCAACCACAAGCAAGCGCAUCCACCCCAACACACGCACAGAGAGAAGGAGAGCGCGCCACCAUGUCGAUGAAGCGGCAGUUGCUGAAGAUCAUCAUCCUGGGCGACAGCGGCGUCGGCAAGACGUCGCUCAUGCAUCAGUACGUGAACCACAUAUUUGACAACCGCUACAAGGCAACCAUCGGCGCUGACUUCCUUUCGAAGGACGUGGAGGUGAACGGGCGCGUGGUAACGCUGCAGAUCUGGGACACAGCCGGGCAGGAGCGGUUCCAGUCGCUCGGCUCCGCCUUCUACCGUGGUGCAGACGCUUGCAUCCUUGUCUUUGACGUGACGCAGCAGGAGUCUUUUGCGCAUGUUGGCUCGUGGCUGGAGGAGUUCAGCAUCCAGGCGGGCCGCCGUGACAGCGUGCUGGUGGGCAACAAGACGGACCUGGAGGAUCGGCGCCAGGUGGCCAGUAAGACAGUGCAAGCGUGGUGCGCGAAGCAGAACGCGGAGGCCGCUAAUGCGAACAACGGCGCAGGUGCCGGCGCGGGUGAUAGUGCGGCGCCAGAGAUGAAGUACUUCGAGACUUCCGCGAAGGAUAACGCCGGCGUCGAGGAAGCCUUCAUUGCUGUGGUACAGCUGGCGCUGGCCAGGAAGGCAACGGUUGAGGAGGCGACACCGAUGCCGCAGACGGUGAACCUGAGCCAAGCCCAGCAGGAGCAGGCACCCAGUUCCUCCGCCUGCAGCUGCUAAGACUCACGAGCAGACAAAGAGACGGAGAGGGGUCGUGGCGCACGGACACCCCUGCUGCACGUGUGGGGCAGCUGAGCGUGCGUGAAAGGCUGUCCCUUCCCCUCUCCUGCAGCCCCUUUACACGUUUCUGUCUGCCUGCGCGGCAGCUUUUCCGGUGGUCUCGGACGGCGUGGAUGCCGAACCUAUCCUUUCCAGCACCGCGUGGGUGUGGUCACUUUUUUUUGGUUGGGGGAGGGAAAGGGAGGAGAGGAGGCGCUGUUUUCGUCUCGCUCGCCGCCCUCACUCCCUCGGUAUCUCUCUCCUUGCUAUGUAUGCUUGUUGCCCCCCCCCCCCAGCCACGACCACCUUCCUUUACUUUCUCCUUCGAGCCGCCGUGCCCGUUUCCUUUCUGAGUUUGCCCCUCUCACCACUCCUCCUUCGCCCCUGCCCCCUCCUCUCCUGCACGGCUCUUUGCAUCGCCAGCACCACCAACAGCUCGAACUGUGCCGCUCCGCUCGUAAAAGGCGACGCGAGCGAAACGACGUUGCCCAAGCGGCAGAAGACGAGGCGGGGGUAGGAGGCGAGACACGAAUAAAAAGACGGAGCGAUGAGUGAGCGAGUGGCGCGAACGUGUUUUUGCUUUCUUCGUGGCUUAGCCUUGCGGAAGGGUCACUGCUAUUGUUGAUGCGUUUUCCUCGUGGUUGUCGAGUGUUGGGGGUGAGCCUGGUUGGCGAGGCUAGGUGCCGGUGCACCUCGGCGUCUGUGUUGCGUGCGUUUCUGUAUGGGUGGAGUGGGGGGCUACUGCUGGUGGUCUUUGUUGCGGCGAUGCCGAUGCGGAGGGUGCGCUAUCUGUAGUGGUCGUGGAUAGAUGCAACGAGGAAGAGGAGAGGGGUAGGGUGCAAAGACAUUCAUCGACAGGUGUGUGCGUACGGCCGUAACGAUUGCCUUGAUGCGUGCUCUCCCCCCCCCUAUCCCGUCCCCCUUUGCCGCGUCCUUCACUGCCACGGCCACCUCACAUGCUUCAACACGCACGGGCCCGCUGCGCUCGUUGUUCCACCUCCAGUGAAUUGCUUGCUUUGUGGUUCUUUAUGCUUGACGUGCUGCGACUUACGUGUAUUCCUCCCCUCUCCUUUCAUUCCUCCUUCCUUCCGAAUAUGCGUUGAUUGGCAUGGGUGUGCGUUUGCGUGUGUGUGUGUGUGCGCGGUGAACUGUGUCUCCUCGCGUCCUCGUUGAUCGCCGCCCCGCCCGCUCCUCCUCCUCCGCAUCCAUUUUUUUUCUUC
rnacentral:misc_RNA from 1 species